AUUGAACGCUGGCGGCAGGCCUAACACAUGCAAGUCGAGCGAGCGGCGAACGGGUGAGUAAUGCCUAGGAAUCUGCCUGGUAGUGGGGGAUAACGACCGGAAACGGGCGCUAAUACCGCAUACCAUCAGAUGUGCCCAGAUGGGAUUAGCUUGUUGGGGGGGUAACGGCUACACAAGGCGAAGAUCCCUAGCUGGUCUGAGAGGAUGACCAGCCACACUGGGACGGAGACACGGUCCAGACUCCUACGGCAGGCAGCAGUGGGGAAGAUUGCACAAUGGGGGCAAGCCUGAUGCAGCCAUGCCGCGUGUAUGAAGAAGGCCUUCGGGUUGUAAAGUACUUUCAGCGGGGAGGCGUUACCCGCAGAAGAAGCACCGGCUAACUCCGUGCCAGCAGCCGCGGUAAUUC
rnacentral:rRNA from 1 species